UGUCUUUUUAGUUCGUAGUAUCGUACCCCUGUUAUUAGCUGAAUUUUUCACGUUCACUGUCCACUCACUUGAAUAUAUCUAUUCUAUAUAUCUAUUAUUUAGUGACGGUUUAAUCGCAGGAUUCAACUGGAAAAGAUAAAUACAUCUAAACAAAGAACUUUUAAGGAGGUUUUUCUUUGCUAUUCGAAUGAGCAGCUUCAGUCACUGAUGGACAAUUUCCAGUAGUAAUAUCCUGCUCUGGGAUACGCUUUCCAGACUUGGGGCCAUACCUCAUCAAUCCUUGCAUCCUGACACUUGGAGAAAAACAAUGGCAUCAACAUCAUGUUCUGUGAUCCAGCUCACUGGAUUGCUUUACUUUUGAAUUUUGCCAUAAAACCGUGCCCUGGAGGCUUAGACGCUCUGUUCUCGUUCACCGUCACACUAGGUUUUUUCCUCGCGAUAUCCCUUAUGUCCUCGUUCUUAUGAGGUGCUUUUCUUCUUAAUCUUACACAGUCUCUUUAAGCUGGAAUAGGUUGAACCCCAACGGAUUAUGCCACCUUAAUCCUCGAGCACUGCUCUCGCAAAAAAUAAUUGGAAGCACAUAAUCCAAAUGUAAAGUCUUAAAAAAUAAUGAGGCACCAACAACAAGGAGGCCAAUAAAAAAGGUGAUUGAAGAGUUUUCAAUGAAGGAUCUACGUAAUAAGAAAGGGGGAGAAUCAUAUAGAGGAAACCACCACGAGCCGCUGUAUUAUGCAGGUAAGCGGAAAUCCCCGUUAUUUGGAAUAUGGAAAUGACUUACCAAAUCGAUGUCUUUCGUGUUGGAAACCACACACAAUCGAUUGAUUGAUGGACUUCCAUUAAGGUCCCCCGUAUUUUCUAAGUUAUGCGAUAAGUCGGAUAAGUUACACAUCGUUCAGAGUGUUUUGCCGAUCUUUUUUAAUGGAGAUUAGGAAUGACCUGUGUUUCUUACUUCUGACACUAGUCGAGGAAUGGCGUAUCAUCUCGUGUAAGGCCCGAACAAAAAAUGUGGUCACUUGAUUACCAAAAGAACUCUUAUUGAGAAAUGCAUAUCUUUCAGAAAAUAAAGGAUCCCCUCCCCUAAAAAUUGCCGAUAGCGAUCCAGCAGGUCAAAUGAAAGAAUGAAACAACUGAUCGGCUUAAUGUAUCAUUUACUACAUCACAACAAGGAAAAAGUCGCAAGACUAUUAUUAUUCUUCUGUUUCUCAAAUAGGCUGCCCACCUUCGCUCGAUGAAUUCUGCCAUUAUUAAUGACAUAAUCCCGGUAAUUUUUGGGGGGCGUAUUUAUCCAUUUAGAGGAUUGUCUUUCCACCGAAUAAUUUCUUGAUUUAUUCUUUGACGAGUGAAAGGAAAGAAGUUUUUUCUAUGGAAAAACAUGGACCUCUUGUAAUCAGCUUAGGUGGUUUUAGAAAGUCGUGUACCGCGCAGCCGCAUUGUAUUCAUAAUAGGAUCUCUCGUGUUGCUGUCUCAUCGUCGUGUUUUAUCUAAAGCAAAAACAUCGAGUAAACAUUUUCUAUUUGAAAUCGACGACCCAUAAAUACGUAUCAAACAAGGAUAAGGAAAUGACACGUGGGACGUGAAUCACGCUGAUUUCUGCUAUCGCUUUAAUUUUAGAUGACAGGCACAGAUGGUAGAACUCGUUUGGUUAGACCUUGCUCCGAUUUACGACACCUAGCUGGAAUAGUUGAUCAGUGACUAAUUCUCACAUCUCGAAUUGCCGAUCGCUAUUGAAACUUAGCCAUCGAUUGUCGUAGCAGUUGAUCGUCACGAGCGCACAACUCCACAUUUGAUUGCAUCCACAUAAAAGGGGCAAUGAUUUGAAUUUUCCGCUGUCAUCUUUUCAUGCUGAAUAUAACGAGGCCACAUCUGCACUGGUAUACACUAGUGGCACAUAGAUGAGUAACAAUAGCUUCUAUUACAACUGUAGAACAACUAGAAAUUCAAAUGUUUUUUUGUUUGUUGUUGUUUUGUUUUAUUCGCCAAUGGUUUCGAGUGCGUUUUGCGGGAGAAAGCUACGCCGUGUAAACACGGUAUUUUCGUUUGUCGUCAACAGGCCGUCGAGGUUUUGUCGUCACUCACGCCAUUAUUCAAAUGUUGACACUACCGGGUUCCCCUUCCACCUGAAAGAACAGCUCCGUAAAAUAACAAGACAUUUCGAAUUGUUUGCGAUGUCAACACAAGAAUCGCAUCCCGUUUUUGUCGUCACAAUGGCGGAUUAAAAGAGAGAAAGUUUCUUUUAAUAUUUAAAAGUGAGGCUUUUUAUUGACCAGUCGCAGGCUGUGUUGACCAAGUGAAAGGAAUAAAUUAGCACCGGUAUGCGUCACGUAGCGUGAUGCGCUCCAUUGUGAUGCCACUGGUUCGUUCGUUUCUUUUUGAAACGAAAACGGGCCAAACAAUAAAAGAGAAGCGGCCCACUAGGUCGCUGGCAUCGAUGGGUGGCCGUACGAUAUCAAUUAAGGGCGUUGGCUUCAAUGACGUUCACCGCAAACGUUAAGCACGUCUUAAAUGAUGUCCCACAAGACCCCGGCAAACCGCCAUUAUUUUCACUUUUCAUUUUCGAAAUGUCGUGACUGUCCAAUGAUCACAUCCGUCUUGCCACUUGUUUUUUAAUUUUUUAUUCGUGUCUCAACGGCUUAAUAUCCAGACGAGGUCAAUUUUGCAACGUCAUCGUGAUUUGUCUAUAGAAGUGCUGAAAAAAAUGUCCUUUGCAGCCAACGGUUGCCGAGAGUUGAUCGAUGAGCGGUCAUUUACACGCGAAAGAAAGCCGCUAUUUGUACAGUCCUGCUCAACAAACACGAAAAGGCCAGUGAACAUUUCGAAACGAUGGAUUUGACGUUUGCCGUGAUAAUCGGACUAUUUUGAUUCUGGAAUGACGUCAGCCAUCUCGUCUUUCGCCAGCUCUAACGAUAACGUCAAGUGCAAUCAAACAACUGGUUAACAAAAUGCAACAAGCCACGAUGAAUAUGGCCGAUUGCAAUCGAUUUCCCUCCCACUGCCACCGCCUCCGCCACGGGAAAUGUUAACUUCGUGCCGAUGAAUAUUUUUUGAAAAAUGUUUCACCUUUUUUCCCCCGUUAUUUAGGCGGCGAAAGACGCAGAGGCCGGGGCAAGGAAGUCCACAAGCUGCAGAAAUCGGUAGCGAUAAAAAGAACGUGCAAAAAUGGGUGAAUCAAUGGUCGUCAAUGCUUUUCGAAAUGUAUUUUUUGCUUUUCGAUUUCAAUCUGGAAACGUUUUUAAAGUAGAAAGAAUCAAGAAAAGAACCAACUGAAGUGCUCGGCAAUUCAAAUGCAAAAAGGACGAGAAACAAAAAACCGGUUUGGCAAGAGGGAAAUGACUACUACACAUGGCGGUGGCGUUGAUCGCAUGAUGGCAACUGUUUGAAAAAUUGUCGUGUUUCAUUUAUUGGUUUGACUUUUAAAAGUUGGACGAGUUUGGAAAUAACGAGUCACACAGUUUUGUUAUUUUUUUUUGGUUUUAUGGCACUCAACUUGGACCCCAAACGCAAAACAAAACGACGGAACGCGUCCAGCUGACUCACGUGCGCGCCCACCUCAAAAACGAAAAAGAAGAGAUAAACGAGCCAGAAAGAGGAAAUGGCUGCGGGAGAAAUAAAAUUAUGGGGGGUAGUACCAAGAGCUUCGGAACGCUGGAAAGCCUUGACACCAAUACAACGCAGAAAAUGGAUAGUAAUAAAAAAACAAUACAACAGGCAGACGGGCAGCGGCCAAAAGGAGAGAGGCAAAAGGUAUUUUCAAAUUUUGAGUU